rnacentral:rRNA from 1 species
GAUGAACGCUGGCGGCGUGCCUAAUACAUGCAAGUCGAGCGAACAGAUGAGGAGCUUGCUCCUCUGACGUUAGCGGCGGACGGGUGAGUAACACGUGGAUAACCUACCUAUAAGACUGGGAUAACUUCGGGAAACCGGAGCUAAUACCGGAUAAUAUAUUGAACCGCAUGGUUCAAUAGUGAAAGACGGUUUUGCUGUCACUUAUAGAUGGAUCCGCGCCGCAUUAGCUAGUUGGUAAGGUAACGGCUUACCAAGGCAACGAUGCGUAGCCGACCUGAGAGGGUGAUAGGCCACACUGGAACUGAGACACGGUCCAGCCUCCUACGGGAGGCAGCAGUAGGGAAUCUUCCGCAAUGGGAGAAAGACUGACGGAGCAACGCCGCGUGAGUGAUGAAGGUCUUCGGAUCGUAAAACUCUGUUAUUAGGGAAGAACAAAUGUGUAAGUAACUAUGCACGUCUUGACGGUACCUAAUCAGAAAGCCACGGCUAACUACGUG